AUGCUUACUAUCGCGAGAUUGUUUUCUUGAUGAAGUUCUGAACUUGGACGGGUUUUUUUAAAAGAGGAUAUUUCCACUUAGUGUGUCUCUUUUAUUCACGAACGCUGUUGAAGAACAAUGGACAAACUUUUUGUGUUACUGAUCCUCACCCCCGCGGUUUUAGGGGUGAAAAACUGCUGCUUCCCCUCACAGUUCGAGUGUGUGGAAGGGCUUGUUACCGGAAGCGCUGAUGACGAGGGCCAUACGUCUGUUACAACGGGUAACCUUCAACUUUCGUACGAUGCGAGUGGGAGAAGGAUUUAUGUUCUUGAACAACUGCAAACAGGAAACAUCACGGAGACAUAUACACUUAUUCAGCUC